rnacentral:rRNA from 1 species
UACGAAGGGGGCUAGCGUUGCUCGGAAUCACUGGGCGUAAAGCGCACGUAGGCGGAUUGCUAAGUCAGGGGUGAAAUCCUGGAGCUCAACUCCAGAACUGCCUUUGAUACUGGCGACCUUGAGUCCGGAAGAGGUGAGUGGAACUCCUAGUGUAGAGGUGGAAUUCGUAGAUAUUAGGAAGAACACCAGUGGCGAAGGCGGCUCACUGGUCCGGUACUGACGCUGAGGUGCGGAAAGCGUGGGGAGCAAACAGG